rnacentral:misc_RNA from 1 species
ACCGUUUACGGAGGGGGACGCCGAAGGCAGGGCUGAUGACUGGGGUGAAGUCGUAACAAGGUAGCCGUACCGGAAGGUGUGGCUGGAUCACCUCCUUAGAAGGAGACCUACUAGGUAAUACUUUGAAAGCACAUUGCGAAUAGAAGGUUACUGUAGUCACCUAAGGUCGUUGAGGGUUUCGAUAGUUAAAGUCAACAAGCGACCAGAGAAACUUGCAAGAGUGAUGAUGGGAGUGAGUUGACCAAUCUUCAAAUUAUCGUGUGUUACGACACCAAUAGAGAUAGAAGACUAAAUAUAAAUGACGCCAAGUAUUAGCGGGCUAUUAGCUCAGGUGGUUAGAGCGCACCCCUGAUAAGGGUGAGGUCCCUGGUUCGAGUCCAGGAUGGCCCACUUUGAAGAGAAGUGUGAAGUCAGAAGCAUAAAGAAUGACAUGAGACUGUUUUUUAAUUCAUCAUUCAUUGCUCUUACUUCAUCGUUUUACUCCUGGGGGUAUAGCUCAGUUGGUAGAGCGCCUGCUUUGCAAGCAGGAUGUCAGCGGUUCGAGUCCGCUUACCUCCACCACAAGAAACGCUAAGGAAACGGAAACGAAAAACUGAAUCAAAGCAAUCAGCAUCUACUGCUGUAGGCGAACUAGGUUAAGAAAUCAAAGUUCGAUACAACAUAGUGUGCUGGUCACUAAAAGCCAGUAAGAACCUUGACAACUGCAUAGAAAAAUAGAAAGCAAAGGUAGUUCAAAGUCUGAGAAAGACAUUUGAGAAACAAAAGCCCGAUUAGUAGUGCUAAAGAUGAUUAUGAGUAAGCGCAAGCAAACGAGUAAUCAUUAAAGCGUUGUUAGUUAAGCAAAGUGAUCUCAAACAUCCAAG